CGAGCUCAAAUUUGGAUAUUGUUUUCUUUCAUUAUUUUGAGUUUUGACAUUGCUCUUAGGAUGAGAAUCUAGUUCAGGUCUAUUGCCUGGUCCUGAUAUAUCAUCUUAUUUACAUAUUUGUUUGUUCUCAAAUGGAUCGCUCCUGUCAAAGAAAAAAUGUAUUGCUGCAAGUUCUGUUGUUUCUGCAACCUCAAAUGAUAGCUGUUGUGUUGUUCAUUUGUCUCUCUUUCUCGUUAGGCUAUUAUUAGUGUGGAUUUGUUUCAGUCUGUUAAUUGUUAGCCACACCUGUCAAUUGAUGAGUUUAACAUGGUUUUUGAUUCAAUUGGUAACUUCUGUGUUGAUUUAUUGAUCUUUUUUUUUUUGUUUGUGAUGUUGGCUUAUUCUGAAUUUCUCAUUAUUCUUGUUGGUAUAAAUGUUGUUGUGUAUGCUUUGGAAGGGCUAGAAAUGGUUUUGCAUUUGGAAUCUGAGGCUAAAGAUUAAGAGAAAUUUGGUAGGUAGGGCAUUCAGUUUGGGGAUGGGUUUGAUUUCUCUUUUCUUUGGUGCUUUAGAAUACUUUUCUUUCGGCGAGGAAACAAAGGAUAUUAUGCUAUCACUACUAAUUUGGGUCGAGAGUUGAUAAGUGUUGUGGUUCAGUUGAGUCUUUGUAUUAACUUGUUUAUUAUUUUUCUUUUAACGGUGAACCAUGCUUGUGAGGUGUUUGAGAGAAGGUUUUGUGAUUCUAGGUAUUGUUUUUGGUUUUGGUGGGGAGUUUGGCUGCUUUUUUGGUGCCUAAUUUUGCAAAUUUUUCUGUCACUUGUUGGAAGCAGUGUAUGUAUUGUUCUUGGCUUUGUGUUGCAUGCUUUGUUUUAUUGUAUGAUUUUGAAGGAGGAGUUAGGUUUGAGUUCAUGGUUUAAGAUGAUUCAAUUUUUAAAACUUUGUCUAUGUUCAUGUUCAGUCCGACUACAAUGCUUGUGUUCUCAUUUGUGAAACCAUGUUCUUAUUCUUAGAAAAAACUUAAAGUUAUCAACACCAAGUGUUUUGUUCGAUUUGGAUAAUAGAAAAACUGUUAUGUUCGUAUAGAAAACAAUUCGGUUCGUAAAGGUUAACAGUUUCAUUUUGCAACUGAGCCCUAUUCAUUGAACCUUAAAACCGGUUCUUUUUGGACAUUAUGAACGGUUGGGUUUAGAUAAACUGAUUCUGAUUUCGGUUCUGCUUUCUUCUUUAAUUGAACCAUAAAGAGUCCUAAUUUGAAUGCUAAAAGUUCAUUGCAACACUUUGAUGAAUCUUGUUACCAAUUAAUUAGAAGGCUCACAAUAAAUGUAACCAUUAGAACAUAAGUGGCUGAGAUGUUGAAAAUUGUUUCUGUUGUCCUUUAUGUCUGAACUUGAACUGAGAAGUACUUUGAUUUUGUUAGGUAUUGACUGGGUAGCAAUUAUGUGAGUUUGAGAGGAUAUAUAGUUGGUAUGUAUAGUUCCUUUUGUUAGAUUUUGUUUAAUCAUGUGCAUAUGCUUCAGUUGUACUUGUAGCAAAGUUAGUGUACUGCUUGCAACUCCAUUAAACAUAGCACAUCCCAAAAUCAAUUGAGACUUUUAUGCAGUCAAAAUAGGAGAAAAUGUACACAAGAUUACACUGAAGCAAACAAACAAAAAAG
rnacentral:lncRNA from 1 species